CGUCAGCUCGUGUCGUGGGAUGUUGGGUUAAGUCCCGCAACGAGCGCAACCCUUGUCAUUAGUUUGCUACAUUCAGUUGGGCACUCUAAUGAGACUGCCGGUGACAAACCGGAGGAAGGUGGGGAUGACGUCAAGUCCUCAUGGCCCUUAUAGGUGGGGCUACACACGUCAUACAAUGGAUGGUACAAAGGGUCGCCAACCCGCGAGGGGGAGCCAAUCCCAUAAAGCCAUUCGUAGUCCGGAUCGCAGUCUGCAACUCGACUGCGUGAAGUCGGAAUCGCUAGUAAUCGUGGAUCAGAAUGUCACGGUGAAUACGUUCCCGGGUCUU
rnacentral:rRNA from 1 species